rnacentral:rRNA from 1 species
AAUUUUGGACAUUGGGGGAAACCCUGAUCCAGCCAUCCCGUGUGUGCGAUGAAGGCCUUCGGUUUGUAAAGAACUUUUUGCAGGAAAGAAACGUUCCGGGUUAAUACCCCGGGAAACUGUCGGUACCUGCAGAAUAAGCACCGGCAAACUACGUGCCAGCCGCCGCGGUAAUACGUAGGGUGCAAGCGUUAACCGGAAGUAUUGGGCGUAAAGCGUGCGCAGGCGGUUCGGAAAGAAAGAUGUGAAAUCCCAGAGCUUAACUUUGGAACUGCAUUUUUAACUACCGAGCUAGAGUGUGUCAGAGGGAGGUGGAAUUCCGCGUGUAGCAGUGAAAUGCGUAGAUAUGCGGAGGAACACCGAUGGCGAAGGCAGCCUCCUGGGAUAACACUGACGCUCAUGCACGAAAGCGUGGGGAGCAAACAG